UACGAAGGGGGCUAGCGUUGCUCGGAAUCACUGGGCGUAAAGGGCGCGUAGGCGGAUCUUUAAGUCGGGGGUGAAAGCCCAGGGCUCAACCCUGGAAUUGCCUUCGAUACUGGAGAUCUUGAGACCGGAAGAGGUAAGUGGAACUGCGAGUGUAGAGGUGAAAUUCGUAGAUAUUCGCAAGAACACCAGUGGCGAAGGCGGCUUGCCAGAACGCGCUCGACGGUGAGGGAUGAAAGCUGGGGGAGCAAACCGG
rnacentral:rRNA from 1 species